UGUUGUUUUUCCGAAAAUCAAUUACGAAUGUUUUAUUUUUGAGAAGUUAUGACUUCAUCGGCUUGCUUCUCUCUUUAUGAAACUUUCUUAAUGCACUUUUCGGUUAACAAGUCAACAUCAAUUUCUUUUGUUGUAAAAGGGUAUGAGGAAGGUGGCUUUCUUUUCGGAGAAAGCGUUUAUAGCCUUGUACCUCUGCAAUCGGAGAGAUUGAGGUCUGCAGCGUAGAUCCUUCGGGGUUAGAUACAUUUGUGCUAAGUUAUAGCUUUUCAUAGACAACUUGUUGACUAUGUUUAGUCUUGUAGCUUACUCGCUUAUGCUAUUUUACCUAC
rnacentral:rRNA from 1 species